AUCCUUUUGUGGUUUGUAAGUGUGAAGAUUGGGUUUUCACUCUACUCUGUAAGAUGUGCCUCCUGCAGACCUUGUUACGGCAUUAACACUACCCAUCGGAUG